AGGGGAGUAGCUCAGUUGGUAGAGCGGCGGUCUCCAAAACCGUAGGCCGCGGGUUCGAAUCCUGUCUCCCCUGC
rnacentral:tRNA from 1 species